rnacentral:rRNA from 1 species
GACGAACGCUGGCGGCGUGCCUAAUACAUGCAAGUUGAGCGCUGAAGGUUGGUACUUGUACCAACUGGAUGAGCAGCGAACGGGUGAGUAACGCGUGGGGAAUCUGCCUUUGAGCGGGGGACAACAUUUGGAAACGAAUGCUAAUACCGCAUAAAAACUUUAAACACAAGUUUUAAGUUUGAAAGAUGCAAUUGCAUCACUCAAAGAUGAUCCCGCGUUGUAUUAGCUAGUUGGUGAGGUAAAGGCUCACCAAGGCGAUGAUACAUAGCCGACCUGAGAGGGUGAUCGGCCACAUUGGGACUGAGACACGGCCCAAACUCCUACGGGAGGCAGCAGUAGGGAAUCUUCGGCAAUGGACGAAAGUCUGACCGAGCAACGCCACGUGAGUGAAGAAGGGUUUCGGAUCGUAAAACUCUGUUGGUAGAGAAGAACGUUGGUGGGAGUGGAAAGCUCAUCAAGUGACGGUAACUACCCAGAAAGGGACGGCUAACUACGUG